GGCCCAAUAGCACAGUUGGUUAGUGCGCCUGCUGUAAAUAGGACUGCUUGGUGUUAUAAGCAGGAGAACCCUCGUUCGAAUCGGGGUUGAGCCA